UGAAGGAAAGAAAACUACUGGAUAUAGAAUCCAAAACCACACUUAUAAGGUUUUUCAAGAAUUUUCUAGAAACCACUGAUAAAUUUAGUGAGUGCCUCAAUAAGUAUAGUU